rnacentral:rRNA from 1 species
UACGUAGGGUGCAAGCGUUUGUCCGGAAUUAUUGGGCGUAAAGAGCUCGUAGGCGGUUUGUCGCGUCUGCUGUGAAAACCCAGGGCUUAACCCUGGGCCUGCAGUGGGUACGGGCAAACUAGAGUGCGGUAGGGGAGAUCGGAAUUCCUGGUGUAGCGGUGAAAUGCGCAGAUAUCAGGAGGAACACCGGUGGCGAAGGCGGGUCUCUGGGCCGAUACUGACGCUGAGGAGCGAAAGCGUGGGGAGCGAACAGG